UCUCAAAGGUGUGAAGCGUUGAUUCCUCUCGGAUGUGUUGGACUUCUUGACUCACGACCUGGUGCUGGAGGAUGCCAUUUUUCAACUUCUCUUCGGCUGUGAUUCUUUUUUGGGGCUUUUCUAUUCCAAGCUGAGAAAGAGUCCUGUGAAGCCGUGGCUUUGAGCAGGGUUCGGUGUGGGUUUAAGGGCUGAUGAUUGAAGAUGAAUUGAUUCCGAUCCUUCCAAAUGCACCAAAGAACUGUGGCAACCAGUUCAAACUUCUGUUUGGGUCUUUCCAAAUGUGGGCUCUCCAGGGGCAGAGCAAUAAAGUAUGCUCAAUCGUCUCA